GGACUCCACUUCUGUUGAAGACCAUGUCUACAAGUGUAACCUCUGACACGGGUAACACAUUGCACACCUUUACACAACAGGAUAAUGCUGGUUUGUCAUAUUUUAAGAGUUUUUAAUGUCAAUUAGAGGAUGAAAUCCAGCAGAACGAAGAGAAUGUCCAUUUGUUGCAACAGUCACUGAAGGAAAUGGACGACAGACUUGUCACCCUGUCCGAGAACUUGAAUCAGUGCGAAUGCGUCAUAAAUGACUUGAUGGCUCUCAAACAUGUUGUAGAGAGCAAAUCCCUUCAAGAUGUGUGCUACAGAAACUAACCGAAGAGUAACUGUCACUUUUUUAUUUUAAAUGUACCUGAAUAAACUUUACAACCACUGA